rnacentral:rRNA from 1 species
UACGUAGGGAGCGAGCGUUGUCCGGAUUCAUUGGGCGUAAAGAGCUCGUAGGCGGCUUGGUAAGUUGGGUGUGAAACCUCCAGGCUUAACCUGGAGACGCCACUCAAUACUGCCAUGGCUAGAGUCCGGUAGGGGACCACGGAAUUCCUGGUGUAGCGGUGAAAUGCGCAGAUAUCAGGAGGAACACCGGUGGCGAAGGCGGUGGUCUGGGCCGGCACUGACGCUGAGGAGCGAAAGCGUGGGGAGCGAACAGG